UCAUACAGCCGUACCACGGUGACCGCACCCGAUCUCGUCUGAGCUUGGCAGCUAAGCAGGGACAGGCCUAGCUAGUAAUUGAGUGAGAUACCCUGGCCUUCCAGCUGCUGUAGGCC
rnacentral:rRNA from 1 species